CAAGAGCAGACAGAGCAGUCAUUCCACUGGAGCCUUCCGCCGCACGCGUGAGAAGGAGCCGACAAGUGAAGGGGGGGUAAAUUAGCUCCCUGUCAUCACAACGUUGGACUUCUACUGACGGGGGAUAGACACAGACUGAAGGAAGAAGAGGACAGGAGAUGUUGCAUGCAUGUGGCUGAUACAGCAGUGACAUGAUCAGCCUGCCAUCAACUCAGAUGCUGGUCAGUUUGUGACACUGGGUGCUUUUGGUGAUUGUGUUGCCCAAGGAUUUCCAAAAGGAGCUGAACUGAGAAUAUUGCGGAGGUAAAAAAAAGAGAAAAAAACUGCGUUAUAGCCCCUUUUUCUGCCGUGUUUGGCUUAUCUGCUACUGGAAUUUGGUGCGAGAUUCACUGGCUUCAAACUAUGGAUGGAUUUAAGACUGAGAAGUAAGACUGCUUGGCAGGGAGGCAGUGAUUUCGACUGAGCCCCUUUCCUCCUGAACACACUGCUCAGACUCGGCUUUACCAUGUCCUGGUUGUUGGCCAUGUGGAUUAGCCUGGGCUUCCUGCUGUUGUGCCAGGCCACUCUCUACCAGACCAUCCAGCAGCACCAUGUGGCCCGGCCCGGCCGCACCGACAUCCUCACCCUGGAGGGAGGUACGUGUGAGGUGAUUGCCGCCCACCGAUGCUGUAACAAGAAUCGCAUUGAGGAGCGUUCUCAGACAGUCAAGUGCUCCUGUUUACCGGGCAAAGUGGCCGGGACGACACGCAACAAACCUUCCUGUGUGGAUGCAUCCAUUGUAAUUGGGAAGUGGUGGUGCGAGAUGGAGCCGUGUCUGGAGGGAGAAGAGUGUAAGACUCUGCCCGACAACUCUGGAUGGAUGUGCUCCUCUGGGAACAAAAUCAAGACCACAAGAAAUACCCAGCCAUACUCCCCUUUUUAGCUUCCGGAAGCAAAAUGCAGAGGAUGGGUCAACAGAAAUUGAGCUGCAUUCUUGCUUCUGUAAAGAUUCAUCCCAGGACCUAACAGAGCGCUCCCACUGCAGGGCUGCGUGCCAGGCUCUUUCCUUCAUCUACCCUUUCUCUUCCCACCAAACGGACUAAAACUAUUACAUCCACGGCUACUGACUGGAUUACCUGGGACCACAGAAAGGAUAUCCACCCAGAUAAAACAGCUUUGCUUGCGUGGUGCCAAGGAUUUGAAACCAGACUAAUCCCUUGUUUGAUCAAUGAGCCCCAUGUUGGUGACUCUCCUCUUCCUCACAGCUGUGGCCAGUUUUUGACCUACUCUCUUUCUGUUUCCCUCACCCGUUUCCCCCUCAAAAACUGAAAGAGCUUAGCUGGGGUUAUUUAGAGGUUGUUAAAACAUCAUUUGAAGACAUUUGCCCCUCCUGAAGGUAAAUCAGUUUGUGAGUUUACAUGGACCUGAACAUGGGCUCCACAGAACUGAGAGCAAGCGGAUGAAAAUACCUUGGUAUCCUUUUCCUUCUGUGUGGGAUGCGUUCGUAUUUGACCCACUCUUCGAGCAGGACGUGGUUGAAAAACACUGGACUAUCAGUGAAGGAGACCAGCAGCGUAUUAUGAGUUAAAGAAGAAUCUCUGAGAGGCUUAAAGCCCCACAUGGACAUUUUGACUUGAAAUGGUGGGCAUGUCCGUUGUAAAUUCAUGAGCACCUCUUUUCUUUGUAUGUAAGAUAAUUUGUGUAUAUAUACAUAUAUAAAUACAUCACAUAUAAGAUACCAGAUCCAAGAAGCUGAAAAAUAUAUUUAAGACUCUAUUAGGAGCCCCUUGGUGGAAUAUUGAUCAGAAUAUAAGUAUUGUUCAUCCAGAGGCUGUUGUGUAAAGGACUGCUUUGCAGUUAACGCUCGCUUUGGAAAAAAGCCUCAACAGAGUCAUAAAGGUAAGCUUUUGUCAUACAGCAAUGUCCUUGGUUAAGCCAGUUAAUGCUUGUAGUUUCUGUAAAGAUGAGGAAAACACUGUAUAGAACUGCCUCUCAAAAGAAAGCUGCACUAACAACAACCCCUGAGCCCUCAGAUCCAGAAGGGACGUAGAACAGCAGCAGAACAACUCUGACCAUAAUCAGACAGUUAGUGUAUUUUUCAGCUGUGGAAGGUUGUCAUGGGCAAAUGCUCGACUAAAUGUGUUGUGUGGAUCUCCCUCUCACACACCAGAGAGAGAUGAUUUAUUAAAAAUGACAGUGAGAAAGUAUAAGCCACAAUGGAGAAACAUACAGAUAACCCCCAGUAGAUAUACAAGUACAUUACAGGACAGCCUUAUGAGAAAUAAAAAUGGUUUUCUAUACUGA